GAUGAACGCUAGCUACAGGCUUAACACAUGCAAGUCGAGGGGGCAGCCGGAUCUAGCCAUAGGUUGCGUGGCGACCGGCGCACGGGUGAGUCAACACGUAUCCAACCUGCCGAUAACUCGGGGAUAGCCUUUCGAAAGAAAGAUUAAUACCCGAUGGUAUAAUCAGACCGCAUGGUUUGAUUAUUAAAGAAUUUCGGUUAUCGAUGGGGAUGCGUUCCAUUAGGCAGUUGGUGAGGUAACGGCUCACCAAACCUUCGAUGGAUAGGGGUUCUGAGAGGAAGGUCCCCCACAUUGGAACUGAGACACGGUCCAAACUCCUACGGGAGGCAGCAGUGAGGAAUAUUGGUCAAUGGACGCGAGUCUGAACCAGCCAAGUAGCGUGAAGGAUGACUGCCCUAUGGGUUGUAAACUUCUUUUAUAUGGGAAUAAAGUUUUCCACGUGUGGAAUUUUGUAUGUACCAUAUGAAUAAGGAUCGGCUAACUCCGUGCCAGCAGCCGCGGUAAUACGGAGGAUCCGAGCGUUAUCCGGAUUUAUUGGGUUUAAAGGGAGCGUAGGUGGACAGUUAAGUCAGUUGUGAAAGUUUGCGGCUCAACCGUAAAAUUGCAGUUGAUACUGGCUGUCUUGAGUACAGUAGAGGUGGGCGGAAUUCGUGGUGUAGCGGUGAAAUGCUUAGUUAUCACGAAGAACUCCGAUUGCGAAGGCAGCUCACUGGACUGCAACUGACACUGAUGCUCGAAAGUGUGGGUAUCAAACAGGAUUAGAUACCCUGGUAGUCCACACAGUAAACGAUGAAUACUCGCUGUUUGCGAUAUACAGUAAGCGGCCAAGCGAAAGCAUUAAGUAUUCCACCUGGGGAGUACGCCGGCAACGGUGAAACUCAAAGGAAUUGACGGGGGCCCGCACAAGCGGAGGAACAUGUGGUUUAAUUCGAUGAUACGCGAGGAACCUUACCCGGGCUUAAAUUGCAUUUGAAUAAUCUGGAAACAGGUUAGCCGCAAGGCAAAUGUGAAGGUGCUGCAUGGUUGUCGUCAGCUCGUGCCGUGAGGUGUCGGCUUAAGUGCCAUAACGAGCGCAACCCUUAUCUUUAGUUACUAACAGGUCAUGCUGAGGACUCUAGAGAGACUGCCGUCGUAAGAUGUGAGGAAGGUGGGGAUGACGUCAAAUCAGCACGGCCCUUACGUCCGGGGCUACACACGUGUUACAAUGGGGGGUACAGAAGGCAGCUACCUGGUGACAGGAUGCUAAUCCCAAAAGCCUCUCUCAGUUCGGAUCGAAGUCUGCAACCCGACUUCGUGAAGCUGGAUUCGCUAGUAAUCGCGCAUCAGCCAUGGCGCGGUGAAUACGUUCCCGGGCCU
rnacentral:rRNA from 1 species